rnacentral:rRNA from 1 species
UGGGGAAUUUUGCGCAAUGGGCGAAAGCCUGACGCAGCAACGCCGCGUGGGUGAUGAAGGUCUUCGGAUCGUAAAACCCUGUCGUCAGGGACGAAGGUUGCGAGUUUAAGAGAUGCGCAACUUGACGGUACCUGGAGAGGAAGCCCCGGCUAACUCUGUGCCAGCAGCCGCGGUAAUACAGCGGGGGCAAGCGUUAUUCGGAAUUAUUGGGCGUAAAGGGCGCGUAGGCGGUUUUUUAAGUCAGAUGUGAAAUCCCCGGGCUCAACUUGGGAACUGCAUCUGGGACUGGGAGACUAGAGUACUGGAGAGGGUGGUAGAAUUCCACGUGUAGCGGUGAAAUGCGUAGAGAUGUGGAGGAAUACCAGUGGCGAAGGCGGCCACCUGGACAGGGACUGACGCUGAGGCGCGAAAGUGUGGGUAGCAAACA